rnacentral:rRNA from 1 species
AAUAGAUCCCCGGUAGUCCACGCCGUAAACGAUGGAUGCUAGCCGUUGGGCAGCUUGCUGCUCAGUGGCGCAGCUAACGCAUUAAGCAUCCCGCCUGGGGAGUACGGUCGCAAGAUUAAAACUCAAAGGGAAUUGACGGGGGCCCGCACAAGCGGUGGAGCAUGUGGUUCAAUUCGACGCAACGCGAAGAACCUUACCAGCUUUUGACAUGUCCGGUAUGGGCACCAGAGAUGGAGCCCUUCAGUUCGGCUGGCCGGAACACAGGUGCUGCAUGGCUGUCGUCAGCUCGUGUCGUGAGAUGUUGGGUUAAGUCCCGCAACGAGCGCAACCCUCGCCCUUAGUUGCCAUCAUUCAGUUGGGCACUCUAAGGGGACUGCCGGUGAUAAGCCGCGAGGAGGUGGGGAUGACGUCAAGUCCGUCAUGGCCCUUACAGGCUGGGCUACGACACGUGCUACAAUGGCGGUGACAGUGGGAAGCGAACCCGCGAGGGGGGAGCUAAUCUCAAAAAACCCGGUCUCAGUUCGG